UCUCCGUUGGUGAACCAGCGGAGGGAUCAUUACAGAGUUGCAAAACUCCCUAAACACUUGUGAACCUACCAGUAUCGUUGCUUCGGUGGGCGGCCCCAGGGCGGGGCCGUAGCCUUUACAGGCGCCCGCCGGCGGCCCCUUACUCUUUGCCUCUCGCGUUGUCUCUCCGAGUAUCGCAGAAUGCAUAAAAACUUUCAACAACGGAUCUCUUGGUUCUGGCAUCGAUGAAGAACGCAGC
rnacentral:misc_RNA from 1 species